GUAUAAGAGACAGCAGUCGCCACGGGAAAACGGAGGAUCCAAGCGUUAUCCGGAAUCAUUGGGUUUAAAGGGUCCGUAGGCGGUCUUGUAAGUCAGUGGUGAAAGCCCAUCGCUCAACGGUGGAACGGCCAUUGAUACUGCAGGACUUGAAUUAUUGGGAAGUAACUAGAAUAUGUAGUGUAGCGGUGAAAUGCUUAGAGAUUACAUGGAAUACCAAUUGCGAAGGCAGGUUACUACCAAUUGAUUGACGCUGAUGGACGAAAGCGUGGGUAGCGAACAGGAUUAGAGACCCCUGUAGUCCCUGUCUCUUAUAC
rnacentral:rRNA from 1 species